rnacentral:rRNA from 1 species
GGACCCGCACAAGCGGUGGAACAUGUGGUUUAAUUCGAUGCUACGCGAAAAACCUUACCAAGUCUUGACAUAGUAGUCGUAUAGUGGAGAAACUCACUAGUCAGUUCGGCUGGACUACAUACAGGUGUUGCAUGGCUGUCGUCAGCUCGUGUCGUGAGAUGUUGGGUUAAGUCCCGCAACGAGCGCAACCCUUAUCUUUAAUUGCCAUCAGAUAAUGCUGGGAACCUUAAAGAAACUGCCAAUGGAGAAUUGGAGGAAGGUGAGGAUGACGUCAAGUCAGCAUGGCCCUUACGACUUGGGCUACACACGUGUUACAAUGGCAACCACAAUGUGAAGCAAUAGGGUGACCUAAAGCAAAUCAGUAAAAGUUGUCUCAGUUCGGAUUGCACCCUGCAACUCGGGUGCAUGAAGCAGGAAUCGCUAGUAAUCG